rnacentral:rRNA from 1 species
CACAUGCAAGUCGAGCGGGAAUAGGUAGCUUGCUACUGAUUUCUAGCGGCGGACGGGUGAGUAAUGCUUAGGAAUCUGCCUAUUAGUGGGGGACAACGUUCCGAAAGGAACGCUAAUACCGCAUACGUCCUACGGGAGAAAGCAGGGGAUCUUCGGACCUUGCGCUAAUAGAUGAGCCUAAGUCGGAUUAGCUAGUUGGUGGGGUAAAGGCCUACCAAGGCGACGAUCUGUAGCGGGUCUGAGAGGAUGAUCCGCCACACUGGGACUGAGACACGGCCCAGACUCCUACGGGAGGCAGCAGUGGGGAAUAUUGGACAAUGGGGGGAACCCUGAUCCAGCCAUGCCGCGUGUGUGAAGAAGGCCUUUUGGUUGUAAAGCACUUUAAGCGAGGAGGAGGAGCHYYUGGUUAAUACCUAADAWKCUUGGACGUUACUCGCAGAAUAAGCACCGGCUAACUCUGUGCCAGCAGCCGCGGUAAUACAGAGGGUGCGAGCGUUAAUCGGAUUUACUGGGCGUAAAGCGUGCGUAGGCGGCUUUUUAAGUCGGAUGUGAAAUCCCUGAGCUUAACUUAGGAAUUGCAUUCGAUACUGGAAAGCUAGAGUAUGGGAGAGGAUGGUAGAAUUCCAGGUGUAGCGGUGAAAUGCGUAGAGAUCUGGAGGAAUACCGAUGGCGAAGGCAGCCAUCUGGCCUAAUACUGACGCUGAGGU